GUUAGUUUCAAGCUGUGCAAUGCAGCUCAAAGUGGAAUUUAUUAAUUUCUUCGCCAAUUUUAUCUAAAGAAGCUAACAAUAUCAACAACAACAAGAGUAGUAAAAUAGAAAUUGACAAUGAAUCUUGGAACACUGAAAAAAAAAAAAAGAAAAUUGAGAUUAAGAAGAAAAUGCCAAUGUGCUAAACCUAAAGGAUUUUCAUCAAAAGAGCCCAUUUCUCUUUAUGGAAAG
rnacentral:lncRNA from 1 species